GUCCCUGUUGCUGCAUUGAAGAUGGCGCUUAGGCAAAUCCGGGCGCGAGAAUCAAGGGUGUGGCACGAGCGAGCAAGUCUCGCGAAGUGAUUGGAAGUGGUUCCAAGAAAAGCCUCUAAGCUUCAGCUGUACGAGACCGUACCGCAAACCGACACAGGUGGACGGGAUGAAUAUUCCAAGGCGCUUGAGAGAACUCAGGAGAAGGAACUCGGCAAAUUGAUACCGUAACUUCGGGAGAAGGUAUACCCUGGUAGUGUGAAGCGCCUGCGCGCUGAGCAUGAAGGGGUCGCAGAGAAUCGGUGGCUGCGACUGUUUAUUAAAAACACAGCACUCUGCAAAGACGAAAGUCGACGUAUAGGGUGUGACGCCUGCCCGGUGCCGGAAGGUUAAGUGAUGGGGUGCAAGCUCUUGAUCGAAGCCCCGGUAAACGGCGGCCGUAACUAUAACGGUCCUAAGGUAGCGAAAUUCCUUGUCGGGUAAGUUCCGACCUGCACGAAUGGCGUAACGAUGGCCACACUGUCUCCUCCUGAGACUCAGCGAAGUUGAAGUGUUUGUGAUGAUGCAAUCUACCCGCGGCUAGACGGAAAGACCCCAUGAACCUUUACUGUAGCUUUGCAUUGGACUGUGAACCGGCCUGUGUAGGAUAGGUGGGAGGCGCAGAACUCGAGUCGCCAGAUUCGAGGGAGCCAUCCUUGAAAUACCACCCUGGUUUGUUUGCGGUUCUAACCUUGGUCCGUUAUCCGGAUCGGGGACAGUGCAUGGUAGGCAGUUUGACUGGGGCGGUCUCCUCCCAAAGCGUAACGGAGGAGUUCGAAGGUACGCUAGGUACGGUCGGAAAUCGUGCUGAUAGUGCAAUGGCAUAAGCGUGCUUGACUGUGAGACUGACAAGUCGAACAGGUGCGAAAGCAGGACAUAGUGAUCCGGUGGUUCUGAAUGGAAGGGCCAUCGCUCAACGGAUAAAAGGUACUCUGGGGAUAACAGGCUGAUACCGCCCAAGAGUUCAUAUCGACGGCGGUGUUUGGCACCUCGAUGUCGGCUCAUCUCAUCCUGGGGCUGUAGCCGGUCCCAAGGGUAUGGCUGUUCGCCAUUUAAAGAGGUACGUGAGCUGGGUUUAAAACGUCGUGAGACAGUUUGGUCCCUAUCUGCCGUGGGCGUUGGAUACUUGACGGAGCCUGCUCCUAGUACGAGAGGACCGGAGUGGACGUACCUCUGGUGUACCGGUUGUCAUGCCAAUGGCAUUGCCGGGUAGCUAAGUACGGAAGAGAUAACCGCUGAAGGCAUCUAAGCGGGAAACUCGUCUGAAGAUUAGGUAUCCCGGGGACUAGAUCCCCCUGAAGGGUCGUUCGAGACCAGGACGUUGAUAGGUCGGGUGUGGAAGCGCAGUAAUGCGUUAAGCUAACCGAUACUAAUUGCCCGUGAGGCUUGAUC
rnacentral:rRNA from 1 species